rnacentral:rRNA from 1 species
GACGAACGCUGGCGGCGUGCUUAACACAUGCAAGUCGAACGGUGAAGCGCCUUCCUUUUUGGUGGGUGUGGAUGAGUGGCGAACGGGUGAGUAACACGUGAGUAACCUGCCCCCUUCUUCUGGAUAACCGCAUGAAAGUGUGGCUAAUACGGGAUAUUCUGGGUCUGUCGCAUGAUGGGUCUGGGAAAGAUAUUGUUUCGGUGGGGGAUGGGCUCGCGGCCUAUCAGCUUGUUGGUGGGGUGAUGGCCUACCAAGGCGGUGACGGGUAGCCGGCCUGAGAGGGUCGACCGUCACGGUGGGAAGGAGAGACGGACACGACUACGAGAGGAGGCAGCAGGGGAGCAUCCGGAACGAGGGGAGGAAGGCCGAUGCAGCGACGCGUGGUGAGUGAUGGUGGUCGGCGCGUUGUGCUCUGCUUUCGGGAGUGAAGCAGGGCUGAAGUGUUUAUGGGCGGCUUGACGGUAGCUGGACAAGAAGCGCCGGCUAACUACGUG